CACGAACCGGGCAAACGUUAUUCGGAAUUACUGGGCUUAAAGGGUGCGUAGGCGGCGCUAUAAGUCGGGUGUGAAAUCCCUCAGCUCAACUGAGGAACUGCGCCCGAUACUGUAGUGCUUGAGGAGGAUAGAGGUGAGCGGAACUAGCAGUGGAGCGGUGAAAUGCGUUGAUAUUGCUGGGAACACCCGUGGCGAAAGCGGCUCACUGGGUCCUUUCUGACGCUGAGGCACGAAAGCUAGGGGAGCGAACGGG
rnacentral:rRNA from 1 species